CAGUAGCCACGGUAAUACGAAGGGUGCAAGCGUUAAUCGGAAUCACUGGGCGUAAAGGGUGCGUAGGCGGAUUCUUAAGUCAGGGGUGAAAUCCCGAGGCUCAACCUCGGAACUGCCUUUGAUACUGGGGAUCUUGAGUCCGGAAGAGGUGAGUGGAACUGCGAGUGUAGAGGUGAAAUUCGUAGAUAUUCGCAAGAACACCGGUGGCGAAGGCGGCUCACUGGUCCGGAACUGACGCUGAGGCACGACAGCGUGGGGAGCAAACAGGAUUAGAUACCCGCGUAGUCCCUGUCUCUUAUAC
rnacentral:rRNA from 1 species